CAGUCGCCACGGUAAUGCGUAGGAGGCAAGCGUUGUCCGGAAUUAUUGGGCGUAAAGGGCUCGCAGGCGGUUUCUUAAGUCUGAUGUGAAAGCCCCCGGCUCAACCGGGGAGGGUCAUUGGAAACUGGGAAACUUGAGUGCAGAAGAGGAGAGUGGAAUUCCACGUGUAGCGGUGAAAUGCGUAGAGAUGUGGAGGAACACCAGUGGCGAAGGCGACUCUCUGGUCCGUAACUGACGCUGAGGAGCGAAAGCGUGGGGAGCGAACAGGAUUAGAUACCCGCGUAGUCCCUGUCUCUUAUAC
rnacentral:rRNA from 1 species